UCUUCACUGCACGGCUCGAAGCUGGAAGCUGGCAGCCAGCCCCCGAAAAACAGGCAAUUCUGACAUUGGAAACGCUCCAGUCGGUCUGAUUCAUGGCUGGUGGUUCUGCUGAGUGAAGGAGCAGUGGCCAUGUGGAAGAUUAACACGGCUGCUACUCUGAAAUCUGGCAAGUGUUCCUGUCAGCUCAUUGCUAAGUUAUCUGCCAAAACAGGAGAGUUUUCAAGUGCCUAAGUAGCCCCUGGAAUCAUGGUGAAAUUAUCCUCCCCGCCACCCCCUGAGUGCACGGUACCCUACCGUGCUCCCCCAGAGGAGCUGCAUUAACAGGCAAGUCUGCAAGUUAUCUGCAUGCCUCUGCCAGUGACCCCCAUGCCUCUCCAUUUCCUUGGCCACAUGUGUCCUGUCCCCAUGCUGGCAGCUAAUCCAGAAAAAGAGGGAAAGAGCUCACCACUGCGACCACCUGAGGGAUGUGUUGGGGUGAGAUCAGCUGGUCAAAGCAGGCAAUAGGACAGAAUCUGAGACUUGAAGCGCCUCGAGUGACCUCUGACCUCUGACCUUUCCAGACCUGCCCUUCAAUCAGACACAGCGAUUGUAAAGUUGAAUGUGAUAGUAACUAGACCCAUUUUAAACCCUUCACCACACAAGACAAAGCCCUUAGGAUUCAUCAUGAAUGAUUUAUUUCUCCUCCCCUGGAUUCCUGCAGCCACCAGCCACCUUGGAGCUUUCCCUCGUCUCUCCCAGGCUGGGCUCACUUGAUUGCAGGAGCUCAGCGGAGGGUCCAGCUUUGCUCUUUCGCUUCCAUUCUUCACGUCUUUGGGUGGCUGCAUUGGCAACUGAGCAGCCUGAUGGAAACACUGAGUCCUCUGUCUCGGCAGGCAGGCCCAGCCGCCAAAGCCAAAGACUCCCUGAGAACGGGGGGAGGUUCGCCUGAACUCUCAGGAGUGGAGGCUGGGCCCAUAGGGUAGGGUUACCAUAUUUGAACUUUCAAAAAAGAGGACACUCCGGGGGGUAAGGGGGGAGCUGUAGCUCUGCCCCCUAUCUACUCCCUCCCACUUCCUGCCCCCUAACUGCCCCCCACAGUACUCUCAACCCAUCCAACCCCCCCUGCUCCUAGUCCCCUGAUCGCCCCCUCUCAGGACCCCGCCCUCUAUCUAAGCCUUCCUUCUCCCUGUCUCCAGCUGCCCCCACCUGUCCCCUGUCUGCCCCACUCCCUAUCCGCACCCCUGCCCCCUGACAGACCCCCGGGUCUCCCACACCUAUUCAACCGCUCCCUGUCCCCUGACUGCCCCCGCAGAACCCCCAACCCAUCUAACCCCCCUCUGCUCCCUGCCCCUGACUUCCCCCCUGAACCUCCGCCCCAUUCAACCCCCCCUGCUCCAUCUCCCUUGACUCCCACAACCCCUCUCCAUAUGCCCACCCCCUGACAGGCUCCCCCCAGAACCCCUGACCCAUCCAACCCCUCCUGCUCCCUGUCCCCUGACUGUCCCUUGGGACCCCAUGCCCCAUCUCCAGCCCCCCGGCCCCUGUACCCUGUUGCUCAGAGCAGUGUGUCUGGGGUGCGGAGGCAGACACAGUGCCGCGCUCCCCCACAGAGCACACAGCUCCCCCCCCGCCCCAGAGUACUGCCUUGGGACGGAAAUCCUGGACCUUUUGAGAGUUUUACAAAUUCCUCCUGGAGGGCGAUUGAAAACCCCAAAAGCCGGACACGUCCGGGAAAAUCCGGACGCAUGGUAAUCCUGCCACAAGGACUCCAGGAUCUGCAGCUGCUGCCACCUCUAUGGUGAAUCCUCCGACUCAUCACCAGCCAGCUCUUCCCUAUUCUGCCACCCGGCCCCACGGUCUGACCGUGCAGGAGAACAGAAACCCUUUGGGACAGCAGGAGAGUCUACUCAAUGCCGCACUCUUUGCAUGGCUUCCCGCGGUCACUGGGAAACACGACUACCCUGCCCCAGGAAUCUCUCAAGGAGCUGCCGGCGCAGUCACUGGGCACCCACUCGUCAUGGUCUCGGGCAGUGGCAUUGCAGAGGAAGCUGAGCAGACCGUCCCUUCUGUGACUUCCUGAAUUGCUGCCAGGACGGAUUCUCCUCUGCGCUGGGAGAGUCCCCGAGGAAAAGCAGCUGUGGUGGGGGAGGGGGCAAGAUAAGCUCUCCCCCAGAGCCCUUGACUAGCAGGCAAGCAGGACUCUGGGAGCCAAGGGAUCGGUGUGUCUUGCUGGGAGAGCAGAGCUGGAGAGCAGAAAAGGGCACUGGAGGAAGUGUAGAAAAGUCAGUGUCAUGGCCGGGUCAUGGGCAGCCAGACCUAGUGGUCAGAGGCAGAGUCCACACUCACAAGGCAGGAGUCGAGAGUCAGCUGGGUCAGGACACUGGAAGAGCAGAAGCAAAAGACCAAAUUGUGUUCAGCACCUCAAGUCAGAUGAGUCACCCCGAGUCUGGGGUGAUCAUGAAAUCAAGCCUGGGGAGUGGGAGCAGGAACAGCCAACACAGGGUCCAGAGGGGGCGGGUGGGAGCCCAGUGCCCAGAAGAGUGGACGGUUCUUACCUCCAGGAGAUGCCUGGGAUCUUCCAUCUAAGCCUCAAUGGGACCCCUGUUGCUUUGUCUGACAGGAUGAGAUGAUCUGUCCCCACUGCUCCCUGCGCUGGGCUGGCUGCAGCACACAUCUGUGUAAGAGGCUGGGCCAGAGAGAUGUUACAGUCAGGGUCCAGGCACCCCAGAAGGAGAACAGAGGGUCUGAAACCAGAAGACGAAGCAAUCAAAUCAGCGGAUUGGACAGAGAAGUUUUCUACCCUACAGGGACAUCAAAGAAGGUCUGUGAGGAAAGCUGAGAUGUUAGUCUGGAAACUGCUAAGGCAAAGAUUGUGACUUGUUAAGAUUCAGUUUUAGUCACUA